UACGGAGGGGGCUAGCGUUGUUCGGAAUUACUGGGCGUAAAGCGCGCGUAGGCGGCUUUGUAAGUUAGAGGUGAAAGCCCGAAGCUCAACUUCGGAAUUGCCUUUAAAACUGCAGAGCUAGAAUUGUGGAGAGGUGAGUGGAAUUCCGAGUGUAGAGGUGAAAUUCGUAGAUAUUCGGAAGAACACCAGUGGCGAAGGCGACUCACUGGACACAUAUUGACGCUGAGGUGCGAAAGCGUGGGGAGCAAACGGG
rnacentral:rRNA from 1 species